GAGUAACGCGUGGGUAACCUGCCUCAUACAGGGGCAUAACGGUUAGAAAUGACUGCUAAUACCGCAUAAGCGCACAGUACCGCAUGGUACGGUGUGAAAAACUCCGGUGGUAUGAGAUGGACCCGCGUCUGAUUAGCUAGUUGGUGAGGUAACGGCCCACCGAGGCGACGAUCAGUAGCCGACCUGAGAGGGUGACCGGCCACAUUGGGACUGAGACACGGCCCAGACUCCUACGGGAGGCAGCAGUGGGGGAUAUUGCACAAUGGAGGAAACUCUGAUGCAGCGACGCCGCGUGAGUGAAGAAGUAUUUCGGUAUGUAAAGCUCUAUCAGCAGGGAAGAAAAUGACGGUACCUGACUAAGAAGCCCCGGCUAACUACGUGCCAGCAGCCGCGGUAAUACGUAGGGGGCAAGCGUUAUCCGGAUUUACUGGGUGUAAAGGGAGCGUAGACGGCGACGCAAGUCUGAAGUGAAAUACCCGGGCUCAACCUGGGAACUGCUUUGGAAACUGUGUUGCUAGAGUGCUGGAGAGGUAAGCGGAAUUCCUAGUGUAGCGGUGAAAUGCGUAGAUAUUAGGAAGAACACCAGUGGCGAAGGCGGCUUACUGGACAGUAACUGACGUUGAGG
rnacentral:rRNA from 1 species